rnacentral:rRNA from 1 species
UACGAAGGGGGCUAGCGUUGUUCGGAAUUACUGGGCGUAAAGCGCACGUAGGCGGAUAUUUAAGUCGGGGGUGAAAUCCCGGGGCUCAACCCCGGAACUGCCUUCGAUACGGGGUAUCUUGAGUUCGGAAGAGGUGAGUGGAAUUGCGAGUGUAGAGGUGAAAUUCGUAGAUAUUCGCAGGAACACCAGUGGCGAAGGCGGCUCACUGGUCCGAUACUGACGCUGAGGUGCGAAAGCGUGGGGAGCAAACAGG